GCAGUAGGGGAAAGAAAAAAAAACGAGAGGGAGAGAAUUUCUCUUUGGACCAGGUCCAGCUCCGGCCAGGAGGGCCGCCGUCGCCGUCACACCAGCCGUCGUCGCCGACCACCUUACACGGUGGCUGAAAAAUCGAAAAAGGUGCAAGUUGCUGAUAGAGACAGUGGCGGUGCUGCAGGCGGUGGAGCAGUUGGCCGACUUUGGCAAAGGCAAGUGGGGGUUAGGUCGGUGGCCGGCAGCUUUAGGGGGGCUAGGGUUUCUUGUUGUUUGUUUUUUUUUUUUUUCUAAUGUUAGGCUAGUUUAGUUUAGUUGGGUAUUGGGCUGGUAGUAUUUGGGCUAAAGGGAUUUGGUUUGUUGGUUUGGGUUUAAUGGGUCUUGUGUAUUGGGUAGGUUUAGUUUUAAUGGGUUAUGGUAAAUGGGUAAGUAGGCUUAUGUUGUAAAUGGGGUCAAUGGGUAAUUGGGCUCCUGAGUUUAAAUAUAAUCGGGCCAAAAUUGGUCUAUAACAAUUUGAAAAGCACAAAUAUAUAGAAAAAAUAAAA